rnacentral:rRNA from 1 species
UAGGGAAUCUUCCACAAUGGACGAAAGUCUGAUGGAGCAACGCCGCGUGAGUGAAGAAGGGUUUCGGCUCGUAAAGCUCUGUUGUUAAAGAAGAACAUAUCUGAGAGUAACUGUUCAGGUAUUGACGGUAUUUAACCAGAAAGCCACGGCUAACUACGUGCCG